rnacentral:rRNA from 1 species
GACGAACCGUGCGAACGUUAUUCGGAAUCACUGGGCUUAAAGGGCGCGUAGGCGGCUAGUCAAGUCAGGGGUGAAAUCGUUCGGCUUAACCGGACAAGUGCCUUUGAUACUGGCUGGCUUGAGGGAGGUAGGGGCAUGUGGAACUUCCGGUGGAGCGGUGAAAUGCGUUGAUAUCGGAAGGAACGCCGGUGGCGAAAGCGACGUGCUGGCCCUCUUCUGACGCUGAGGCGCGAAAGCCAGGGGAGCGAACGGG